CCCACCUUCCGAGUCGCUUAUCUUGACGCUGUGGAUCGAGGCAUGUUUUGCUUGGCUCUGAUGGACUCUGGAGAUGAAAGCCAAGAUCAAACUAUAGCUACCUAAUACAGGGGGAUAGCCCAGAGAAAUUUGGAUUAAUACCCCAUGGUACUGUGAUCUCGCAUGAGAUUAUAGUUAAAGAUUUAUCGGUAUUAGAUGGUCAUGCGUUCUAUUAGUUAGUUGGUAAGGUAACGGCUUACCAAGACAUCGAUAGAUAGGGGCCCUGAGAGGGGGAUCCCCCACACUGGUACUGAGACACGGACCAGACUCCUACGGGAGGCAGCAGUGAGGAAUAUUGGACAAUGGAGGGAACUCUGAUCCAGCCAUGCCGCGUGAAGGAAGACUGCCCUAUGGGUUGUAAACUUCUUUUAUAGAGGAAGAAACGCAGAUACGUGUAUUUGUUUGACGGUACUCUACGAAUAAGGAUCGGCUAACUCCGUGCCAGCAGCCGCGGUAAUACGGAGGAUCCAAGCGUUAUCCGGAAUCAUUGGGUUUAAAGGGUCCGCAGGCUGUUGUUUAAGUCAGAGGUGAAAGUUUGCAGCUCAACUGUAAAAUUGCCUUUGAUACUGGAUGACUUGAGUUAUAAUGAAGUGGUUAGAAUAUGUAGUGUAGCGGUGAAAUGCAUAGAUAUUACAUAGAAUACCGAUUGCGAAGGCAGAUCACUAAUUAUAUACUGACGCUGAGGGACGAAAGCGUGGGGAGCGAACAGGAUUAGAUACCCUGGUAGUCCACGCCGUAAACGAUGGUUACUAGCUGUUUGUGACUUCGGUCUGAGUGCCUAACCGAAAGUGAUAAGUAACCCACCUGGGGAGUACGAUCGCAAGAUUGAAACUCAAAGGAAUUGACGGGGGCCCGCACACGCGGUUGGAGCAUGUGUUUUAAUUCUAAUGAUACGCGAGGAACCUUACCAGGGCUUAAAUGUACGAUGCAUUAUUUAGAGAUAGCUAUUUCUUCGAACUUCUUACAGGGCUGCAUGGUUGUCUCAGCUCGUGCCUGAGGUGCAGGUAAGUCUCUAUACGAGGCGUACCCCUGUUGUUAGUUACCAUCAUGUUCUGGGUUGGA
rnacentral:rRNA from 1 species